AACGAACGCUGGCGGCGUGGAUAAGACAUGCAAGUCGAGCGGGGCAUUCGUUGCAGCAAUGCGGUGAGUGUUCAGCGGCGCAAGGGUGCGUAACACGUGGGCAAUCUACCGUGAAGUUGGGAAUAACUCGCUGAAAGGCGAGCUAAUACCGAAUGUGACUGUCGGAAGGCAUCUUCUGACGGUUGAAGUUGGGGACCGCAAGGCCUGACGCUUCACGAUGAGCCCGCGGCCUAUCAUCGGUAGUUGGUGAGGUAACGGCUCACCAAGCCUGAGACGGGUAGCUGGUCUGAGAGGACGACCAGCCACACUGGAACUGAGACACGGUCCAGACACCUACGGGUGGCAG
rnacentral:rRNA from 1 species